rnacentral:lncRNA from 1 species
GUGUACACAAUUCUCAAAUAACGUGUUAGGUCAAGAGAGAACCUCGAUCGAUUCAUUGUUGCGAGCCUUAAACGGAGCAGAGUGCACAAAAUAUUUUAUUGGAUAAACAGUUUGUAUUUUAUUGAAUAAACAAUUUGCAUUUCAUUGAAACAUUUAGAGCUUAAUAACUCAAUCAUACUUUAUACAUUUGGAAAGUAAGCCC